GGUGUGAAUGACCUCAUCAACAUCCUUCCGCCUCUGAGAGAAGAGCUGCUGGAGACUCCUGGAUGUCUGGCCCAAAGCUGGAGGCUCUGAAAGGGCUGAGAGAUGAUUUGGAAGAUACCAUUUGACUGCUUUUUACUGACGUGACCAUAUGUCUACCCGGAGAUUGGAGACCUUGGACAGCUGGAGAACCCAGACCAAUGAAGACAAGAGAGCUGCUCUUUGUGUGACGCAUUUCCUCACCCAGCCGCAGAUUGCAACAGAGGAGAUGAGAUAAAGAUGAGGAACCUCAACAGAAAGGAUGGAUGUAAACAGUGGGUUUGCUGUGCAGUGACAAGAGCCCAGCUUGGGAAGCUUUUUGAGCUCCCAAGAGGAUGUAAAGGGCACAAGGUCACCUUUAUUGAACUGUUUUCCUGUUGGCCAUCCCUUCUGGGCCCCAAGUUCUGCAUUUGCAGCAUCUGGCACAGUGCUGGGCACAUCCUGAGCUUGAGAAAAGGAACCUGGGCAGGAGGAGAUAAGCCAAUAUAUCUGCCUGUUGAGCCUACAGUUAAAAAUAAUUAUAGAGAACAUGGUGAUGCUUCAGAAACUGUCAGGAUCUUUACUCUUUGUCCAGGAAGCCCUGAACUGUCAUUGGAAAUAAGAUGCCAGAACCACAGAUGUCCUUAG
rnacentral:lncRNA from 1 species